UACUAAAGGGAGGCUGGAAAAGGAAAUAGCUGUUGUUGGAAGGGGGGGAAGGCUUUGGCUAUCGAUUUCUUUUUUCUGUUGUUGUUUGCUUGGUGUUGUUUGUUUUGGGUUUUUUGGUCAUGAUUUGGAAAUGUGCUAUUAGGCAAGUGGAAGAAUUGAAAAACAGAACCAAGAGAGUUAUGUUGUGGGUUGAGGUUACAAUGAAACAAGCAAAGAUACCCAGAAGGAGGUUUUCCAAAAGCAGAUGUCUUAAGGACCUUCCUGAGUCUCAAAUUCAGGCUCUUGGCCCUGAUGAAGCAGAAGCUGCCUGCAGGCAGCUUUUGGACAGCUGGAUGAAGAUAUCACUCGUCAAGCGUCAGCCCUCUCCAGGUGGCAUGGAUCUUCAUUUGGAUUUCAGGAGACAUAAACAACAGCAGCUUGUGAAGACAACGCUUCUGUGAAGGAUGCCUCCCAUCUUUGAACAAUGAAGCCGUGAUACCCUCUGGAGACCCGGAGCUGCUGGAAGUAACCUAAGGCAUCCCCUCCCUUUCAGCACAGGCUCAGGGUUGAAGUGCAGGGAAGGCUGCAGGCAGGACCAGCUGUAGCUCAGGCAGCAGCCUCAAGAGGGAGAGAAGGCUUUCUCACAGGCUUUUAUGACCAAUGUUCAAAGGGAAAUGCCUUUAGAGAAGAAAAGGCUGGGCUUUCUGGCUGUACUAAACUCAGACCUGCAAAUCUGUUCUGUGGCUUUUCUUUCCCUGAUGCUUCUCUUCUACCUAAUCCUUCCCUUUUCUCCUGCUGAUGGCUGGGGACUUCUUUUCUCAACCUGGGGGUUUUAAAGCUUAGCCUGGGAUGAGGAGUCUCACCUAAACAGAUUCAAGUCUGCACCUUUUCUCCUCGGUCAUCAUCCCUGUGUUUGACAGACAAAUAGCCUGGACAGGAGGGGAACGAACUGAUUAUUUCCCUUGAACUGAAGGACGCCCUGGCCCUGUGUGGUUGAUCACUGGACAAGAGCAGCACAAUUGGACAAAUGACCAAUAUAAUAGCUAACAAAUGGAAAGCACUGCUGCCAGCAAAGGAGCUGGCUAUUUAAAGGCAGCAAGAGGUUUGCAGCACCAGCCCUAGCAACAAGGACAAAAGUUAUUCCAAACACAUGAGGCAAAGCCACCAUGAACCCACUGUAGCAUGCUAUUAAUAGGAAGGGGGCCUUCAUUAAUUUCUUAAAGGGUGAUGCCAAAACAUCAGAAGAAAUUUGUGGUGCACAUAAAGGAGCAGCACGUUGCACUGUAUCUAAUUGCCAGAGUAAUUAUUUUCUGCUAUGCAAAUUACCAGGAGCAAAUCCACUGCAGUACAUCUAUGUGUAUUUAAUUAUCAUCAAGAGCUGGAGUUGAGGGACUAGAUUUAAUAUGUUCAUAAUGAAAUAGCCAGAAUUUGUG